rnacentral:rRNA from 1 species
UGCCCUAGUAACGGCGAGUGAAGCGGCAACAGCUCAAAUUUGAAAGCUAGCCUUCGGGUUCGCAUUGUAAUUUGUAGAGGAUGCUUUGGGUAAAACGCCAGUCUAAGUUCCUUGGAACAGGACGUCAUAGAGGGUGAGAAUCCCGUAUGUGACUGGAAAUGUUAACCUAUGUAAAGCUCCUUCGACGAGUCGAGUUGUUUGGGAAUGCAGCUCUAAAUGGGAGGUAAAUUUCUUCUAAAGCUAAAUAUUGGCGAGAGACCGAUAGCGCACAAGUAGAGUGAUCGAAAGAUGAAAAGCACUUUGGAAAGAGAGUUAAAAAGCACGUGAAAUUGUUGAAAGGGAAGCGCUUGCAAUCAGACUUGUUUAAACUGUUCGGCCGGUCUUCUGACCGGUUUACUCAGUUUGGACAGGCCAGCAUCAGUUUCGGCGGCCGGAUAAAGGCUCUGGGAAUGUGGCCUCCACUUCGGUGGAGGUGUUAUAGCCCAGUGUGUAAUACGGCCAGCCGGGACUGAGGUCCGCGCUUCGGCUAGGAUGCUGGCGUAAUGGUUGUAAGCGACCCGUCUUGAAACACGGACCAAGGAGUCUAACAUCUAUGCGAGUGUUCGGGUGUCAAACCCCUGCGCGUAAUGAAAGUGAACGGAGGUGGGAACCGCAAGGUGCACCAUCGACCGAUCCUGAUGUCUUCGGAUGGAUUUGAGUAAGAGCAUAGCUGUUUGGGACCCG